rnacentral:rRNA from 1 species
AGGAUGAACGCUGGCGGCGUGCCUAACACAUGCAAGUCGAACGUCCUGUCUCGCAAGAGGCAGGGAGUGGCGGACGGGUGAGUACCACGUGGGUCAUCUACCGUGAGGUGAGGAAUACCGGCGAGAAAUCGCCGACAAGACCGCAUAGCCUCGGUGCAAGUCGAGGAAAGCUCUCUCGAGAGAGGGAGCGCCACACGAGGAGCCUGCGCCCGAUUAGCUAGCUGGUGGAGUAACGGUUCACCAGGGCGACGAUCGGUAGCUGGUCUGAGAGGACGAUCAGCCACACUGGGAUUGAGAACGGCCCAGACUCCUACGGGGGGCAGCAGUGAGGAAUUUUCGUCAAUGGGGGCAACCCUGAACGAGCAACGCCGCGUGCAGGAAGAAGGUUUUCGGAUCGUAAACUGCUUUUCUCGGGGAAGAGAACGGACGGUACCCGAGGAAUCAGCCCCGGCUAACUACGUGCCAGCAGCCGCGGUAA